rnacentral:rRNA from 1 species
GACGAACGCUGGCGGCGUGCUUAACACAUGCAAGUCGAACGGAAAGGCCCUGCUUUUGUGGGGUGCUCGAGUGGCGAACGGGUGAGUAACACGUGAGUAACCUGCCCUUGACUUUGGGAUAACUUCAGGAAACUGGGGCUAAUACCGGAUAGUAGCUCCUGCUGCAUGGUGGGGUGUGGAAAGUUUCGGCGGGUGGGGAUGGACUCGCGGCUUAUCAGCUUGUUGGUGGGGUAGUGGCUUACCAAGGCUUUGACGGGUAGCCGGCCUGAGAGGGUGACCGGCCACAUUGGGACUGAGAUACGGCCCAGACUCCUACGGGAGGCAGAAGUGGGGAAUAUUGAACAAUGGGCGGAAGCCUGAUGCAGCAACGCCGCGUGCGGGAUGACGGCCUUCGGGUUGUAAACCGCUUUCGCCUGUGACGAAGCGUGAGUGACGGUAAUGGGUAAAGAAGCACCGGCUAACUACGUG